AAAUAAGUUAAUUUUUCUUAUUAAAUUUAUUUUAUAAUUUAAAAUAUAAAUAAAUUUUUAAUAUUAUUGGAAAAUUUAAAUAAUUUUUCAUUUUAGUAAAAUUAAUAUUUAAAAUAAUUAUUUAAAUGAAAAUUUAUAAUAGAAAAUUAUAUUUAUUUUAAUAUAAUAUUAAUUAAAUUGAGUGCCAGCAAUUGCGGUUAGACUUAAAAUAUAAAUAAAUUAUAAAAAUUAGAUAAAGAUAUAAUAGUAUAAGAAUCAAAAUAAUUAAUUUAAUUUUAUAUUUAUGGUGAAAUAUGAAUAUAAAUAUAUAUGAUUAGUGUAGAUUUGAUUGAAGAUAAAUUUAAAUAAAUUUAAUUAAAAACUAGGAUUAGAUACCCUAUUAUAUAAAUAAAUUAAGAAUUAAUUUAAAUAUUAAAUGUAGAAUCAUUAAAAAUAAAAAAUUUGACGGUAUUUUAUAAUAUUAGAGGAAUUUGUUAAUUAAUUUGAUAGUCCACGUUUGGGGAGACUUAAUUAAGAUAUUUUUAUAUAUUGUUGUUGAAAAAUUAUAUUAUUAGAUAUUAAUUUAAAUUUAUAUAGAUUUUUUUAGUAAAAUAAUUCAAAUCAAAAUGUAGAAUAAUUAAGGUUAAAUGAAUUACAAUUAAUUUGGUUAGUGGAAUUUAAAAUUUAAUAGUUAAAGAAAGAGGAUUUAAAUGUAAAUUUAUAAAAAUUUGUAAGUUGAAUUUUUUUUAAAAUAUGUACAAAUUGCCCGUCAUUUUCAUUAAUAAAUUUGUGAGAAAAGUCGUAACAAAGUAAAUAUAUUGGAAAAUGUAUUUAGAUGAUU
rnacentral:ncRNA from 1 species